UACAGAGGGGGCAAGCGUUAUUCGGAAUUAUUGGGCGUAAAGGGCGCGUAGGCGGCUUUGCAAGUGACGGGUGAAAUCCCUCGGCUUAACCGAGGAACUGCCUGUCAAACUGCAUGGCUUGAGACCGGGAGAGGUGAGUGGAAUUCCCAGUGUAGCGGUGAAAUGCGUAGAUAUUGGGAGGAACACCAGUGGCGAAGGCGGCUCACUGGACCGGAACUGACGCUGAGGCGCGAAAGCGUGGGGAGCAAACAGG
rnacentral:rRNA from 1 species